AUGUAAACAUUUUGGAAACCUUAAUAUGUAUGGUGGUGUGUACUUUCCUUUCUAUGAACUGUUAUGAUACUGAAUAUGACGUCCUCCGCCCCUGAACGUUUCCGCCGUUCUGGUUUGGGUGUGUGAUAGAUUGGUAUCAGAGCAUUGUUUAUAGUGAACUAAGUAUAUCAAAACCAUUUUUGAUAUACAACUAUAAACACAACUGGGCAAAAACACUCUGAGUAAGAGUCAUACUUUUAAAAUUAAAUUUAUUUAGUUUUGUAAAGUAGGCAUGCAUUCAUUUCAUAUUAAUAACAUGGUCGGUAUCAUAACUAAAACAAUAUAGAAGUAUUAUAAAUAAGUUGCGCAGUGCAGGUAUGCCUUGGGACAUGUAAUCGGAACUGGGAAGAAUAUAGCCUGAUCAACUAUAUUUGUCCAAGAGCCGACUAACGUAUGCCAAGGAGUGUCUGCAAUGGACAACAAAUUUAAAACUUACCAAACUUAUAAACUUUAGAAUCAAACAUAACAUUUAGAAUACUAUAGGAAUAUUUUAUGAAUACGAUAGUUUAACGUUGAGGUCAACCUUGUGUGCCUUAGUUCUAGACAAUCCUUAUCUCCUUAUUCUCGUACAAACACAAUGGCUGGAUUUCCACCUAGCAGGAGACCCCUACUACCCAUACCAGUAGACCCUUUCACUUUAACCAUCGACUAACGAAACUCGAUCGAUUUAUCACGACAAACCCGACACUAAACCCAAUUGGUUUCAAGUUUCAAAACCCCGAGGUACUCAUGUGAGGAGUACUAUAUCUUUACAACCUUCCCGUAGUAUCCCCCAACAGAUCAUUUAGAAAUACCACACAUACAACGAGUCAAAUCCAAGCUCAGAAACUAGGAGUGAAUUCAACCAUGAACUUCAAAACGUAGCUGCCCUAAUGCAUCGAGUGAAUAUUCUAACAUUUAGAAGAACAUAAGUAAAUAAACCCAAAACCACACGAUCCCGAUCGGUCGAAGUGAUAGGCGGAGUAAUGAAGGUCCGCUGAAACACGCACAUUAGGAUCUAGAUUCAUAAAGGAACAAGAGGAACAAAUCGACCAGAAGCACUCUCGCCUGCCCGCAAGAAUUGGAGUCCCAGUCAAAAUGCGAAUUUCGGGACGAAAUUCUCUCUAACGGGGGGAUAAUGUAACAACAGCAAAAUUCAGGUCAAAAUUUAAACUUUUAUAAAACCGUAAUUGAGUAUACUAAGUGGUAAAUAUCGUAACAAGGUUUUCAUACAUAUAAAGAACACAAAAAUCCGAGUUAUAACGAGGAAGUUAUAACCAUUCUAAAAUUCCCGACAAAACCGGCAACACCGAUUAAACGAAAAACGCGAAGUUUAAUACAAUAGUUUUUAGCCUUAAGUAUCUAAAUAAAAGUUAUAGAUAACAUCAAACCGUGAGCGUACAUAAAAAGAACGUCCAAAUCUGACUUCGUAUGAGGAAGUUAUGAUUUUUCCAAGGUUCGGGUAUAGCAGUAGACAGCUAAAAACUCGAAAUAGAGCUCGAGAUACUUUUGACCAAAACAACCUAAAUGAGAAUCGAAGGUCUCAACAUUAGUAGCGCAACGGCGAAAAGUCUGACGAAAACGGACAUCGGAUGAAGAAGUUAUGGAAUUUUAACGGACUUUUCGUGUUCCGGCCCGUUAAAAAUAAAUAAUUAAAAAUAAAUUCAGAAUUUGCUGAUGAAGUCUAAACGAGAGUUGUAGAUCAUAUUUUUAGCUACGCGUGCAUAUAAAGAACGUCGAAAACGGAGCUCGUAUGCGAAAGUUAUGGAUUUUACAAGUUCGGGGUCCAAAAUCUGAGGCUGUCAGGCCCCCACGACGUGGCACAGCUUGGCCGCGACCCGGCAAGCGACUGAGGGCGUCCAAUCAACGGAAGGGGAUAGGGCUUGCUCCCCACGACGUGGCCAACCCUAGCCACGAUGUGGCACUCAAAAAUACCCCCUAUAAAUAGAACUCUUGGGGUGCCGGGUUUAGGUGCUCCAUUCUUCCCUCUCUCGUGAUGAAACUCUGCGGUUAAGCUACAGAAGCCCUCCCGAAGCCCCGGUUUUCACACUCAAGUUCCAAAGGAAGGUUCUACUCUCCCGAGAUUUCCGAGAUUCUCAAGAAUCCCGAGGAAAAUCGACUUUCACGAGCCGAAGUUCUGCUCCAUUUUCUUCUCGUUUUCCCCAAUCAAUCAAGUGAGUUCAUACCCCUAUAAUCUACACUUUCAAAUGUUUUGUAAAUGCUUUUAUACACUUUUAAGGGGGGGAAUACAAGUAAACACACGACUAAAAUCGUGUGAAACAUCGAUCUUUUGCUAUACUUUUCAUACUGUUGUUUUAACUAUCUUAUGAAGUCAUUAUCAUGCAAAAUACCUCACAACACAACUUUACCCUCUUGGGAUAAAAGAUGUUUAUAAAUAGAAAUAUGUUUUAUUUAUACGUAUACAUACAAAUACAUUAUAUCAAGGGUAACCAUCUUUGCUAAACCAUUUUAUGCAUUCAAAGAACUUAUGAUUUAUGCUUUGUUGGACAUUGUGAAAAAGGAUAAACUUUACAUACAAAACUACUACUUUAAUACAGACUUAGUUGAGAAUCCGUGAGACGUGUACAUCUUCAAAUACUACCUUUUGCUAAAAGGUAUCGCUACAAGUCCUGUCUAUAACCAGAGUCUCCCGUUCGGAGAACGUGUCAAAUGUGUAUAGAUCUAUACGGGAAGUCAUGAUCCCGCGCCCUGACUGUUAGCUACAGUCCGUCUUUUGGGGUGACAGUUGUCAUAACGCUACGACGCCUGAAGAACGUCGCUACAGGCAUAUUAUGUUUAGUAUGGUUAUAAAACUCACCGGAUAUACAAUUAUUAUGGUAUUAUGUUUUUAUGAAUGAGUAGCUAUUAAAACUAUUCUUCAUCUAACAAGUGCGAUCUUCGUAUAGCUUUAUUAUAUAAAACUAUGCCACAACUUUUAAGCACGUCGGUUGCUUGCGAUUUUCGGUCUUAGAGACUGCCAGUUAUGUUAGGAAAAUAAGGGUUUUUCCUGUAUACAAACCAAACAACUAUUAGGAAAAUAAGGGAUUUUCUUGGUUCAACUAGCUACAUUUUUCAACACAAAUACUCUCAUGCAUUUCAUACUUUUAUAAGAAAAUAAGGGAUUUUCUUGGAAAAAUAUACACUCAUUUUGGAAUGGCAUUCAAUGUUUCUAAAUCACUUAUGAACUCACCAACUUAAUUGUUGACACUUUUUCCUUGAAAUAACUUGUAUUCUCAGGGAACCGUUAAGCAGGUUUGGAAAUCAACUUUUGAGGAUUAACGUGCUGACGUUAAUUACUUCUUUUGAAAAAUGUUUAUGUAUUUAUCUGUUGAACAUGUAACGAAUACAAUUAUGUAAACAUUUUGGAAACCUUAAUAUGUAUGGUGGUGUGUACUUUCCUUUCUAUGAACUGUUAUGAUACUGAAUAUGACGUCCUCCGCCCCUGAACGUUUCCGCCGUUCUGGUUUGGGUGUGUGAUAGAUUGGUAUCAGAGCAUUGUUUAUAGUGAACUAAGUAUAUCAAAACCAUUUUUGAUAUACAACUAUAAACACAACUGGGCAAAAACACUCUGAGUAAGAGUCAUACUUUUAAAAUUAAAUUUAUUUAGUUUUGUAAAGUAGGCAUGCAUUCAUUUCAUAUUAAUAACAUGGUCAGUAUCAUAACUAAAACAAUAUAGAAGUAUUAUAAAUAAGUUGCGCAGUGCAGGUAUGCCUUGGGACAUGUAAUCGGAACUGGGAAGAAUAUAGCCUGAUCAACUAUAUUUGUCCAAGAGCCGACUAACGUAUGCCAAGGAGUGUCUGCAAUGGACAACAAAUUUAAAACUUACCAAACUUAUAAACUUUAGAAUCAAACAUAACAUUUAGAAUACUAUAGGAAUAUUUUAUGAAUACGAUAGUUUAACGUUGAGGUCAACCUUGUGUGCCUUAGUUCUAGACAAUCCUUAUCUCCUUAUUCUCGUACAAACACAAUGGCUGGAUUUCCACCUAGCAGGAGACCCC
rnacentral:lncRNA from 1 species